rfam:Ciona savignyi cont_30556, whole genome shotgun sequence.
GUCGUCGUGGCGGAGUGGUUAAGGCGACAGACUUGAAAUCUGUUGGGGUCUGCCCGCACAAGUUCGAAUCUUGUCGGCGACG